GAUCAUUACAGGGCCUACCAGCCUCUGCGAUGCCUUGUGGAUGCCACCGAACGUAGCGCCGCCGUCUCGGGCUCUCGCCCGGCAGCGGUGCACCCCACACUCUUCUACCCAGCCCCUCCGGGCUCUUCUGAGUACCAUUGCACAACUGUCACAACUUUCAACAACGGAUCUCUUGGCUCAAGCAUCGAUGAAGAACGCAGCGAAACGCGAUAAGUAAUGUGAAUUGCAGAAUCCAGUGAAUCAUCGAGUCUUUGAACGCACAUGGCGCCCGCCGGCACUCCGGCGGGCAUGCCUGUCCGAGCGUCGCUUCGACCCCUCGGGAGGAACAGCCCUCCCGGUGCUGGGGCGCCACGGCUAACCCGUGGGCCCUCGAACGCAGUGGCGGACCGGCCGCGAGCCCCCGAGCGCAGUAGGUUUCUAGCUCGCCCAGGGAGGACGCGGCGCGCGCCCGCCGUAAACCCAGCCCACCCACGGUCGACCUCGGAUCAGGUAGGAAUACCCGCUGAACUUAAGCAUAUCAAUAAGCGGAGGAAAAGAAACCAACAGGGAUUGCCCCAGUAACGGCGAGUGAAGCGGCAACAGCUCAAAUUUGAAAUCCGGCGCCCCCCGGGCGCCCGAGUUGUACUUUGCAGAGGAUGCUUCGGGCGACGCGCCUUCCGAGUCCCCUGGAACGGGGCGCCAGAGAGGGUGAGAGCCCCGUAUGGUCGGACGCCGAGCCUGUGUGAAGCUCCUUCGACGAGUCGAGUAGUUUGGGAAUGCUGCUCAAAAUGGGAGGUACAUUCCUUCUAAAGCUAAAUACCGGCUUGAGACCGAUAGCGCACAAGUAGAGUGAUCGAAAGAUGAAAAGCACUCUGGAGAGAGGGUCAAACAGCACGUGAAAUUGUUGAAAGGGAAGCGCUCGCCACCAGACGUGCGCCGCGCCGAUCACCCAGCGUUCUCGCUGGUGCACUCGGCGCCGGCGCAGGCCAGCAUCGGCUCCCGCAGGGGGAGGAAGGCGCCGGGAACGUAGCUCCCUCGGGAGUGUUAUAGCCCGGCGCGCAACGCUCCUGCCGGGGGCCGA
rnacentral:rRNA from 1 species